GCAGUAGCCGCGGUAAUACGUAGGUGGCAAGCGUUGUCCGGAAUUAUUGGGCGUAAAGCGCGCGCAGGCGGAUCAGUUAGUCUGUCUUAAAAGUUCGGGGCUUAACCCCGUGAUGGGAUGGAAACUGCUGAUCUAGAGUAUCGGAGAGGAAAGUGGAAUUCCUAGUGUAGCGGUGAAAUGCGUAGAUAUUAGGAAGAACACCAGUGGCGAAGGCGACUUUCUGGACGAAAACUGACGCUGAGGCGCGAAAGCCAGGGGAGCGAGCGGGAUUAGAUACCCCCGUAGUCCCUGUCUCUUAUACA
rnacentral:rRNA from 1 species